rnacentral:rRNA from 1 species
GGGCCCGAGUUGUAAUUUGUAGAGGAUGCUUUUGAUGCGGUGCCUUCCGAGUUCCCUGGAACGGGACGCCAUAGAGGGUGAGAGCCCCGUCUGGUUGGAUACCAAAUCUCUGUAAAGCUCCUUCGACGAGUCGAGUAGUUUGGGAAUGCUGCUCUAAAUGGGAGGUAUAUGUCUUCUAAAGCUAAAUACUGGCCAGAGACCGAUAGCGCACAAGUAGAGUGAUCGAAAGAUGAAAAGCACUUUGAAAAGAGAGUUAAAAAGUACGUGAAAUUGUUGAAAGGGAAGCGUUUAUGACCAGACUUGGGCUUGGAUAAUCAUCUGGGGUUCUCCCCAGUGCACUUUUCCAGUCCAGGCCAGCAUCAGUUUUCGCCGGGGGAUAAAGGCUUCGGGAAUGUGGCUCCCUCCGGGGAGUGUUAUAGCCCGUUGCGUAAUACCCUGGCGGGGACUGAGGUUCGCGCAUCUGCAAGGAUGCUGGCGUAAUGGUCAUCAACGACCCGUCUUGAAACACGGACCAAGGAGUCGUCUUCGUAUGCGAGUGUUCGGGUGUCAAACCCCUACGCGUAAUGAAAGUGAACGCAGGUGAGAGCUUCGGCGCAUCAUCGACCGAUCCUGAUGUUCUCGGAUGGAUUUGAGUAAGAGCAUACGGGGCCGGACCCGAAAGAAGGUGAACUAUGCCUGUGUAGGGUGAAGCCAGAGGAAACUCUGGUGGAGGCUCGCAGCGGUUCUGACGUGCAAAUCGAUCGUCAAACAUGGGCAUGGGGGCGAAAGACUAAUCGA